rnacentral:misc_RNA from 1 species
CUGAAAUCCUCUACGUCUACUCCUCCCUCGCGGGUGUCCGCCGCACUCUGUCGCCUCCCCCCGACUCUCCCGACCAGAGGCCAAUUGUGGAAAUAAUUGGACACAAGGCUCAGGGUGCUGUUCCAGAGCCUGGUUCUGUUGUCAUUGCCCGAGUUACUAAAGUGAUGGCUAAAAUGGCAUCGGCUGACAUUAUGUGUGUUGGUCCCAAGUCUGUGCAAGAAAAGUUCACUGGCAUAAUUAGGCAACAAGACGUAAGAGCUACUGAGAUUGACAAAGUGGAUAUGCAUUUAUCUUUUCGGCCUGGUGACAUUGUCAGAGCUCUAGUGUUGUCCCUUGGAGAUGCACGGGCUUAUUACCUUUCUACUGCCAAGAAUGAGUUGGGUGUUGUAUCUGCAGAGAGCACAGCAGGUGCAACAAUGGUUCCCAUAAGCUGGACAGAGAUGCAAUGCUCAUUGACUGGCCAAAUUGAGCAAAGAAAAGUUGCUAAGGUUGGAAGUUGACCUUGGUGUAAAAACAGGCCACAUUGAAAAUUUAAGACAUACUUCGAGAUGUGUAUCUUCCUGAAAUUUUAUGGAGGAAGUGCACUAUGAAUUUCUUCUUAGUUGGGAGAUCAAUGUUCUUCCUAGUUUUGGUUCUUGCUAUAUGAAACCCUUAUACUUGGGAGCAAUUCCAAGUCUCAUGUCGACAAUUUGCAGGUUGUGUUGUUCUCUCUCGUUCACUGUCUGCUACUGCUGAUACUGAACUUGUGUAACAAACACAACAAUUAGCUGCAGGAGUCUUAGCUUAGCUCAAAUCAUUUGUUUUCAUGUGAUUUUGUUAUAAACAGAGCCUUGAAAUAUCAUUAUCAUGUUUUUAGCACAAAACAAGGUAAAAAC